UCCUUGUGUGCAAACGUGGGCACUGUGCCCUCUAGUGACAGCCGUCUAAUCUGCAGUACAAGAUGAGUUGGAACAGGGAACCUACUAGGAUGUUCCUUCCUUUCAGCCUUCCUUAUCUUUCCGUCAGGAAUCUUUUACAAAAGCGCCUAUGAUCUCAUGGACCUGGAAACACCAAUCAGCAGCGUCUUCUCAGUUGCUGAGAAACUGUACCCAAGACCAUCCUCCUACCAAGACUCACCAUCUCUCAUGCCAACUUAGGGAUUCUUUUAGGUUUAGGGAAAAAUCUUCUCUGUUAUGUUUAUCUCAGUUUUUCUAUGCCUUUUUAUUCCUUUUAUUCUUUAUUUCUUGACAUAUACUAAAAGAUUACUUGUGAGGUACCUAGAAAAGAACCUGACACAGAGUAAGCACCCAACAAGGAAGGAUGAUACUCUUUCAUUUUCAUUUAUCCAGCACUAAAUGGGACUCCUAAACAGGAAUAGAGUCUACAUUCUGCUAGAGGGAACAGCGUGGAAUACAUUUUAACUUCAGUGUUCGGAUGCAGAAAAGAAAAAUCCAUGUUGCUUCAGUUAAGCUCACUGGUGAAAAGGGAAAUGAAGAAGAAUAAACUCCAGUAAUUUUAACCCUUCA